rnacentral:tRNA from 1 species
CGUUCUAUGGCUGAACUGGUGAAAGCAUCGCUGAUUACAGGCGAAAAUUCGGGUUCGAGUCCCGUUGGAACUG